rnacentral:tRNA from 1 species
AAUUAUUUUAAGUAGCGUUACGCCGGGAUUAGAACGGAAGUCAUUGAUGUUGACUAAUACGGGAGGUACUAAACUCUCUAGCGUUA